GCGGGCGUAGCUCAAUUGGAUAGAGCACCUGACUACGGAUCAGGAGGUUUGGGGUUCGAGUCCCUACGCCCGUACCA
rnacentral:tRNA from 1 species